rnacentral:rRNA from 1 species
AACGAACGCUGGCGGCAGGCUUAACACAUGCAAGUCGAGCGCCCCGCACGGGGCGCGGCGGACGGGUGAGUAACGCGUGGGAACGUACCUUUUGGUUCGGGACAACUCCGGGAAACUGGAGCUCAUACCGGAUAAGCCCUCACGGGGAAAGAUUUAUCGCCGAAAGAUCGGCCCGCGUCUGAUUAGCUCGUGGUUGAGGUAACGGCUCACAAAGGCGACGAUCAGUAGCUGGUCUGAGAGGAUGAUCAGCCACACUGGGACUGGGACACGGCCCAGACCCCUAGGGAAGGAAGAAGGGGGGAAAAUGGGAAAAGGGGCGCAAGCCUAACCCGCCCAGGCGGGGUGAGUGAGGAAGGCCUAAGGUUUGUAAAGCUCUUUUGUCCGGGAAGAAAAGGACGGUACGGGAAGAAUAAGCCCGGGUGAACUUCGU